CAGUAGCCGCGGUAAUACAGAGGGUGCGAGCGUUAAUCGGAUUUACUGGGCGUAAAGCGUGCGUAGGCGGCUUUUUAAGUCGGAUGUGAAAUCCCUGAGCUUAACUUAGGAAUUGCAUUCGAUACUGGGAAGCUAGAGUAUGGGAGAGGAUGGUAGAAUUCCAGGUGUAGCGGUGAAAUGCGUAGAGAUCUGGAGGAAUACCGAUGGCGAAGGCAGCCAUCUGGCAUAAUACUGACGCUGAGGUACGAAAGCAUGGGGAGCAAACAGGAUUAGAUACCCCUGUAGUCCCUGUCUCUUAUAC
rnacentral:rRNA from 1 species